rnacentral:rRNA from 1 species
GUACACUCCUACGGGAGGCAGCAGUGGGGAAUAUUGCACAAUGGGCGCAAGCCUGAUGCAGCCAUGCCGCGUGUAUGAAGAAGGCCUUCGGGUUGUAAAGUACUUUCAGCGGGGAGGAAGGCGAUAAGGUUAAUAACCUUGUCGAUUGACGUUACCCGCAGAAGAAGCACCGGCUAACUCCGUGCCAGCAGCCGCGGUAAUACGGAGGGUGCAAGCGUUAAUCGGAAUUACUGGGCGUAAAGCGCACGCAGGCGGUCUGUCAAGUCGGAUGUGAAAUCCCCGGGCUCAACCUGGGAACUGCAUUCGAAACUGGCAGGCUAGAGUCUUGUAGAGGGGGGUAGAAUUCCAGGUGUAGCGGUGAAAUGCGUAGAGAUCUGGAGGAAUACCGGUGGCGAAGGCGGCCCCCUGGACAAAGACUGACGCUCAGGUGCGAAAGCGUGGGGAGCAAACAGGAUUAGAAACCCCAGGAGUCCCAU